CCAUAUCACAUUAAAACACCAGUUCUUGUAUGAUCACCAAAGUUAAGCAAUGUUGAGUCUGGUCAGUACUUAGAUGAGUGACCACUUGGAAAUACUAGGUGCUGUAA